CCUACGGGAGGCAGCAGUGGGGAAUAUUGCACAAUGGGGGAAACCCUGAUGCAGCAACGCCGCGUGAGUGAAGAAGGUUUUCGGAUUGUAAAGCUCUGUUAGCAGGGAAGAAAAUGACGGUACCUGACGAAGAAGCCCCGGCUAACUACGUGCCAGCAGCCGCGGUAAUACGUAGGGGGCAAGCGUUAUACGGAUUUACUGGGUGUAAAGGGAGCGUAGACGGACUUGCAAGUCUGAUGUGAAAAUCCGCGGCCCAACCCCGGAACUGCAUUGGAAACUGUAUAUCUAGAGUGUCGGAGAGGCAAGUGGAAUUCGUGGUGUAGCGGUGAAAUGCGUAGAUAUCAGGAGGAACACCAGUGGCGAAGGCGGCUUGCUGGACGAUGACUGACGUUGAGGCUCGAAAGCGUGGGGAGCAAACAGGAUUAGAUACCCCUGUAGUC
rnacentral:rRNA from 1 species